GAGAACAAACAAGGAUUUUGUGAUGAGGGGAUCCUUAUGAGUCUGACCGCUCUUCCCACAGCACAAAUAAUCAAGAAACAGAAUGGACUGUCCCCAGAUCUGGGACUCGGGAGUCAGCCAGAAGCCUGAGAGCAGAGCUUGGUGAAACAGGAGGUGGUAGAUGAGCCAGCUGAUGCUUUUAAACUAAUUGAGAAAAGAGAGGCAGAUUCAUCAAGAAAGACAUCUGAGAUGUAUGAAUAUCCUGUAAGACUGACCCAAAUCCUGCUGGCUUGGUGAGCUCAUCUCCCAGUUGCCUGAUUAUCUUAGAACAUUGAAGAGCUCCAGUGAAGAUGAAGAACCAUGAAGUCUCUUUCCUGGAACUUCACAUUGAGAACUUGGUGAGAUUCCUGCAGAUGAAGCCUACAACAGUAUGGAGGACCCCCUGAGACAACAGCUCCC